rnacentral:lncRNA from 1 species
GGAAGACUUAAGAUGGCGGCGUUUGCACGGAGUGCAAUCACUGCGUCCUUACGGGGGUUGCAAGGCGUCCGAAGUAUGAGUCCACUAACAAAAGUCCAGAAACUCGCCAGUUAAUAGUAUUGUGUCUCUUCAAAAUAUCGGAGAAUAAUUUCUUUCUCGCUGAUCGCCUAACUUCUACUGACGAAGCUUGGAAGUUGCAGAAGGUACUGGCUCCUGUAUCACCCAGCUCUGGAGUUGAAAGAGCUCUUCAUUCCUGAGUCUCCUGUACCACUGAGAAUAGAAAUACAAAAAAAAUUCUAAAACUUGUAUGGAACUACAAAAGACAUUAAAUAAUCAAAGUAAUCUUGAGCAACAAGGACACAGCUGGAGGCAUCACUCUACCUGAUUUUGUAAUCCAUUAUCAAAAAACUGUGGUACCAGCAUAAAAACAGAUUCACUGACCAGUGGAACAGGAAAGCCCAGACAUAACUCAUACAUUUCCAUCCAAUUGAUUUUUGACAAAAGUGGCACACAGAAUGGGGAGAGGACAAAUAAAUAAAUAAAUUGUUUUGAGAUAUCUGUAUAUCUAUAUGUGAAAUUGAACCAUUUUCUCAUAGCAUAUAGAAAAAUCAACUCAAAAUGGAUUAAAGCCUGAAAUGUUGCCUUUGAAACUGUAAAACUACUAGUAGAAAAUAUAGGGGAAAAGCUCUAUGAUGUUGUUCUGGGCAAUGAUUUCUUGGAUACAUCCUUAAAAGCAUGGGCAGCAAAAACAGCCAGACAACUAUCAGGGAACCUGCCCAGAUAGUCACAUAGGUUCUUUUCUAUUUUCCCUAAGCAUUGGCCGGGUUGAGAAAUAAAGGGACAGAGUACAAAAGAGAGAAAUUUUAAAGCUGGGCAUCCUGGGGAGACAUCACAUGUCGGUAGGUUCCGUGAUGCCCCCUGAGCCGUAAAACCAGUAAGUUUUUAUUAGGGAUUUUCAAAGGGGAGGGAGUAUACGAAUAGGAGGUGGGUCACAGAGAUCACGUGCUUCACAAGGUAAUAGAAUAUCACAAGGCAAAUGGAGGCAGGGCGAGAUCACAGGACCACAGGACUGGGUUGAAAUUAAAAUUGCUAAUGAAGUUUCGGGCACCAUCGUCAUUGAUAACAUCUUAUCAGGAGACAGGGUUUGAGAGCAACCUGUCUGACCAAAAUUUAUUAGGUGGGAAUUUCCUCGUCCUAAUAAGCCUGGGAGCGCUAUGGGAGACUGGGGCUUAUUUCAUCCCUACAGUCUCGACCAUAGAAGACAGCUACACCCAAGGGGGCCAUUUUAGAGGCCCACCCUCAGGGGCACAUUCUCUUUCUCAGGGAUGUUCCUUGCUGAGAAAAAGAAUUCGGCGAUAUUUCUCCCAUUUGCUUUUGAAAGAAGAGAAAUAUGGCUCUGUUCCGCCUGGCUCACCGGCGGUCAGAGUUUAAGGUUAUCUCUCUUAUUCCCUGAACAUUGCUGUUAUCCUGUUCUUUUUUCAAGGUGCCUAGAUUUCAUAUUGUUUAAACACACAUGCUCUACAAUUUCUGCACUUAACACAAUUAUCACAGGGUCCUGAGGCGACAUACGUCCUCCUCGGCUUACGAGAUGACAGGAUUAAGAGAUUAAAACAGGCAUAGGAAAUCACAAGGGUAUUGAUUGGGGAAGUGAUAAGUGUCCAUGAAAUCUUCACAAUUUAUGUUUAGAGAUUGCAGUAAAGACAGGCAUAAGAAAUUAUAAAAGUAUUAAUUUGGGGAACUAAUAAAUGUCCAUGAAAUCUUCACGAUCCACGUUCUUCCGCCAUGGCUUCAGCCAGUCCCUCCGUUUGGGGUCCCUGACUUCCCGCAACAGACAACUUGAGUUGCAUCAAACUAAAAAGCAUCUGCACUGCAAAGGGUACAGUUAACAGAAUGAAGACACGGGUUUUGAGAAACCAUUUUCAAAUCAUAUAUCUGAUAAGGGGCUAAUAUCCAAAAUGUAUUAAGAAACCCAAGCCCAAUAGCAAGAAAACAACUGUCUUUAAAAGGGGGAAAAGGACCUCAACUUAAAUUUUUCAGAGGAAGACAUGAGUGGCCAAUUGAUUGAUACAUGAAAAAAAUGCUCAACAUCUCUAAUCAUUAGUGAGUUGCAAAUCAAAACUGCAAGAUAUUACCUUACACCUUUUAGAAUGGCUAUUAUUAAAAGGAUGAAAGACAGGUGCUGGCAAGGAUGUGGAUAAAAGGAAGUCCCAACAUUCUGUUAGUGGGAAUAUAAAUUAGUAUAGCCAAUUUAGGAAACUAUAUGGUGGUUCCUUAAGAAACUAAAAGUACAAUUACUAUAUGAUCUAGCAAUCUCUACUUAGGUAUAUAUCCAAAGGAAUUGAAGCAGUAUGUUGAGAUCUUGCACUCCCUUAUUUUGAAAUUAUUUACAAAGCUAAUAAAUGGAAAAGACUUAAGUUUUCAUAACAGAUGAAUGGACAUAGAAGAUGUGUUGUAUAUACAUAUUGGAAUAUUUUUUAUCCUUGGAAAAGAAGGAAAAUUGUCAUUUGUGACAACAUGGAUGAAUCUGUAGUAUACUAUGCUAAGUGUUGUAAGACAGGCACAGAGAGGCAAAUACUACAUUAUAUUUGUAUGUGGAAUCUAAGAAAGGCUAACUCAUACAAGUAGAAAGUUGGAUGUUAUGGUUUCCAGGAUGUGGGUGUUGGAGAGAUGGGCAAAGGCAAGACGUUGGUCAAAGAGUACCAAUUUUCUGUUAGGAGGAAUAAGUUUUAGACAUAUUUCACAGCAUGGUGACCAUUGUCACUGACUGUAUAUUUUAAAAUUGUUAUAAGUAGAUAUUAAAGUUGUCACAACAAAAGUAGGUGAAGUUAUGGAUAUGUUAAUGUGCUUGAUUUAGUUAUUACACUAUGUAUACAUACAAAAACAUCAGAUAGUUCCCUGGAAUUAUAUACAAUUAUUACUUGUCAAUUAUAAAAAAAAGCCCUACUGCAACCACUAAAAAGGAUUUUCAUAUAAUAGAGGGAAAAAUCGUUAAAGAUAAUAAUACAUUAUUUUAGAAAAUAUUAACUUAUAAAAAGUAGUAUAGGAGGGAUUCUGUAAAAGAAGAUAGACAUAGAAUUUUAAAAUGUAUAAUGGAAAAUUUAAAUCCAGCUGUACUGAUGGAUCAAGCAAUCCAAACCAGUCUGAUUGACCAAGUGGAUAUUUAAAAAACAAUCAAACUAUAAGGUGUCUGUUGUAGGCAGUUUAUAAAAUACAAAAGUGUUGAAAGAAAUAGGAUGGAAAUAGAAAUAUCCAAGUAGCAACCACAAAAAAACUGGAAUGUCUGCACUAACAUCAUACAAAACAAACCAAAUGAAGGUUAAAAAUAUUGAAAUUAUACAAAAUAUGUUCUAUGACUAAAAUUUAAUGAAAUUAGAAAUAACACAGAGAUAGGAACUAUACAUAUUUGUGCAAAUUUAAAAAGUUAUGCUGAGUGUGGUGGCUCACACCUGUAAUCCCAGCACUUUGGGAGGCCGGGGAGGGUGGAUCACUUGAAGUCAGGAGUUGGAGACCAGCCUGGCCAACAUGGUGAAACCCUGUCUCUACUAAAAAUACAGAAAAUUAGCCAGAUGUGGUGGUGUGCGCCUGUAGUCCCAGCUACUCGGGUGGCUGAGGCACUAGAAUCACUUGAGCCUAGGAGGCAGAGGUGGCAGUGAGCCGAGAUCACACCACUGCACUGCAGCCUGGGCGACAAAGACUGUCAAAAAAAAAAAAAAAAAAAAAAAGUUACGUAACCAACAAGUCAAAGGAGAAUUUAUAAGGAAAUCAGAAAAUACUUUGAGGUGAAUGAAAAUACAGAAACAACAUAUCAAAUUCUGUGAGAUGUGUGAAAGCAACGCUUACAGUGAAAUUAAUAGCUAUGAACAUUGUAAUGAAAUGAGAAGUACUUCAAAUUACUAACCUAACUUUCCAACUUUAGAAAAUACAGUAAAAAAAGAACAAAUUAAAAUCAAAGCAGAAAGGAUAUAAAGUUUAGUGUGGAAAUAGAGAAUUAAAAAUAAUUGAGAAACACAGCACUUCGUUGACUUAUUCAUAAAAUAAAGCUUUAUUAAAAUGAGAAAUGUAAAACGUGAUGUUCCUAAUGACCUUAUUCCAUACAAGGGAUUAGUAUUUUGACAAAUAUCUUUGUGGAAGUAGACAAAUUCCUAGAAAGACACUGACUACCACAACUCAUUCAAGAACAAAGUGAAGACAAUAAAUUGGUAAUUUAAAAACUCUCACCCCUGCCCCUGACACACAUGUAAAUUCCCAGUUCAAAUGUAUUCUUUUGUAUAUUAUACCAAACACAUGAAAAUUACCAAUUCGAUAAAAAUGUCUUAAAAACUUGGAAGAGCAUGUAAUAUUUUUUACUGGUUCUAUGAUGCUAUUGUUAUCUAGAUACCAAAGUGAAACAUCAUACACAGGGAAAACUCUGAUAAUAUCGCUUAUGAGUGGAUCUGUGAAAUUUCCUAGUAAAUUUUGGCAAACCAAAUACAGUAACAUAUAAACAGGAAUGUACACCAGUACCCAGUACAGUGUAUCCCUGGAAUGCAACGUUAUUUCAUCAGCUGGAAAUGAUUAGUGCAACAGACUGAAGGAAGAAAACAACAUGGUCAUCUCAAUAGAUUGUGGACGGCUGGAAGUGGAGGCUCACGCCUGUAAUCCUAAUACUCCUACCAACAGUGUAUAAGCAUUCCUUUUUCUCUGUAACUUCACCAGAAUCUGUUUUUUUGUUUGUUUGUUUGUUUGUUUUUGACUUUGUAAUAGCCAUGGGCUGGGCUCAGUGACUCACGCCUGUAAUCCUAGCACUGGGGGAGGCUGAGGUGGGCGGAUCACUUGAGGUCAGGAGUUCGAGACCAGCCUGGCCAACAUGGUGAAACCCCAUCUCUACUAAAAAUACUAAAAUUACCUGUGCAUGGUGGCAAGUGCCUGUAAUCCCAGCUACUCGGGAGUCUGAGGCAGUAGAAUCACUUGAACCCAGGAGGUGGAGGUUGCAGUGAGCGGAGAUUGUGCCACUGCACUUGGACCUGGCUGACACAGCAAGACUAUGUUUAAAAAAAAAGAGAGAGAAAAAAAAAAUAGAAGGUGGAAAAAGUAUUUGGUAAACUAAGAAGUAAACCACAACCUAGUAAAGGGCAUAUUUUAAGAAUUCACAACUAGAACCUGGUGCCGUGGCUGUAAUCCCAGCACUUGGGGAAGCCAAAGCAGGAUUACUUGAGGCCAGAAGUCUGAGAUCAGCCUAGGCAAUAUAAGGAUACUCUGUAUCUUAAAAAAAAAAAAAAAAUCCAGAUGUGAUGACACAUGCCUGUACGCCUAGCUACUUGGGAAGCUGAGGUUCAUGUUUACAAUGAGCUAUGAUGAUGCCACUGUACUCCUGACUGAACAACAGAGUGAGACCCUGUCUCUAAAAAGCAAAACAAAACAGAAAACCCAAAACCCUCAAAACUAAUGUUACACUUAGUAUUUAAAGAAUGCUUUCUCUGUAAGAAGAGGAGCAAGGACAGGAUAAAACAUUCUUGCCAGUUCUGUUCAACAGUGUACUGGAAGUAUCUGUGACAUUAAUUGCAUUGCAUAUGGAAGGAAAUAAAAUUUUUUAAAUAGGAAGCAGCAAAACCUUUUGCAGAUGACAUGGUUUUGUACAUACACAACCCCAGUGGAUCCAAUAAAUUUGGAUUCCAAUAACAAGAUCAUCUCAGCAAGUUUUUGUGAUUUAAGAUUACAAUCCAAAAAUCAGUUGUAUUUCUAUAUAUUAUUAAAGAAGUCAAAAGUGACAUCAUUGAAACAUUUUUAUUUACAAUAUUAUUAAGGCAAAAUACUGUGGGAUAAAGUGAAAUUCAGCAUGAACUGUGAAUAACACAAAAUAUUUGUCAGAGGAGUUGAGGAAUAUCUACAUAUGUGGAAAGACAUCUCAUAUUUGUGGACUAGAAGAUUUAAGCAUCGCUAGGUGCGGUGGCUCACGCCUGUAAUCCCAGCACUUUGGUAGGCUGAGGUGGGCGGAUCACAAGGUCGGGAGUUCGAGACCAGCCUGGCCAAUAUGGUGAAACCCCGUCUCUACUAAAAAUACAAAAAAAUUAGGCGGGUGUGGUGGCGCAUGCCUGUAAUCCCAAUCCCUCUAGGCUGAGGCAGGAGAAUCUCUUGAUCCCGGGAGGCGGAGGUUGCAGUGAGCCAAGAUCGGGCCACUGCACUCCAGCCUGGGCAACAGAGCUAGGCUCCCUCUCAAAAAAAAAAAAAAAAAAGCAUCAAAAGGAUAGUUCAUUAAUGGAAAUAAUAAAUUGAAAAAGGGAAGGACAUCAAAGUUUAAUGCUUUUACUUUUUCAUAAUAACCAUAAAUAGUAUGAAAAUACAAACUAUAUUCAUGGAAAAUGUUUUGUUUUUAUUUUUUUUGAGACAGAAUUUUGCUCUUGUUUCCCAGGCUGGAGUGCAAUGGCACGAUCUCAGCUCACCACAACCUCUGCCUCCCGGGUUCAAGUGAUUCUCCUGCCUCAACCUCCCAAAUAGAUGGGAUUACAGGCAUGUGCCAGUACGCCCGCCUAAUUUUUUUGUUAUUUCUAGUAGAGAUGAGGUUUCUCCAUGUUGGUCAGGCUGGUCUCGAAUUCCCGACCUCAGGUAAUCUGCUCGCCUCUGCCUCCCAAAGUACUGGGAUUAUAGGUGUGAGCCACCAUGCCCGGCCCUUUGUUUUCAAAUCUCAUAUCCAACAUUGGACUUAUGGCUAGAAUAUUUACAUAAUUCUCAAAAGAUAGUAUUAAAAAUCCAAAGCUUUAAAUUAGAAAAUGGGCAAAAGUCAUGAAAGAACAUUCCCCUGAGGAUAGGGAAAUGUCAAUAAGGACAUGAUGGAAAUUAAUACUAUGAUGAGAUAUUACAGAAGAUUUAUUUUUCUUUGAGGCGGAGUCUGCCUCUGUCACCGAGGCUGGAGUGCAGUGGCAUGAUCUCAGCUCACUGCAACCUCCACCUCCCGGGUUCCAGCGAUUCUCCUGCCUCAGCCUCCCAAGUAGCUGGGAUUACAGGCGCCUGCCACCACGCCCAGCUAAUUUUUUUUUUUUUUUUUUUUUUUGUAUUUUUAGUAGAGACGGGGUUUCUCCAUGUUGGCCAAGCUGGUCUCAAACUCCUGACCUCAGGUGACCCACCUGCCUCAGCCUCCCAAAGUGCUGGAAUUAAGAGGUGUGAGCCACCACACCUGGCCUACAGCAGAUUUAUUUCAGUAGCUGAAAUAGUUAAAACAUAAUGAUUCCAAAGGCUGAGAAGCAUGCAGAAAAAAUUGAAUCUUUAUUGCUGAUGGGAAUAUAAAACUGUAUACCACAUUGGAAAAUAAUUUGGCAAUUUCUUUUAAAGCUAAACACACACAUACAGUUAGUUAGGCUUAGCAAUUGCUGUCAUGGCCUAUUUCAUAGAAAUGAAAAUUUAUGUGUAGACCAAACCUGCACUUGACUGUUCACAGAAAUUUUAUUUGUAAUAGUCAGAACCUGGAAACAACUCACAUGUUAUUCACCAGGUAAACAGUUAAAUAAGUCUGUUAUUUCCGUAUUGUGUAAUACAACUCAAAAAUUAAAAGGAAUAAACUACUACUAUACAAAUAAGCCUUAGAUGAUUCUCAAUUCUGAAGGAAAAACCCAUUUCAAGUUGUAACAUAAUGCUUAUUUUUAUGUAUCUUAAUGUGAUGAAGUUAAAUAGUUUAGAGAACAUUGUUCGUAUUCAUCUGUUAGGGAUGGUAGAAGUUAGGGUUGUAUGUGAUUAUAAGACUAGUGGAAGGGAUACGUUUUUAAUGAUGGAUGAGUUCUGCAUUCUGAUUCAUGCAGUGGUUACAAAAAUGUAUACAUGUGAUAAAAUGUCAUGUAAAUGUGCACAUUUCACCAAUGACAAUGUGCUGGUUGUGAUAUUGUACAAUGUUAAUGGAAAAUAUCACCACUGGGGAAAAUUGAGUGGUAUGUGUAAACGGUACUAUAUUUGCAGCAUUUUGUGAGUCUUUAUUUUAACAUAAUAUGUAAAUAUGUAAAGCAACUAGAAGAAUGGUUUUAAUACAGGAGAGUAACAGCUUAUAAGCAAGAGAAAGAAAAAUGAUAAAUAAUGUGAACACUUACCAAAGGAAGGGUGGAACAGAGAAAUAAAGGACAGGGAAAAUUAUCUGGGAUGAUUCCUAAAUUCCAAUAUUUGGAUGGAACUAUACAGAAUUUUAAUAUAUCUGGAAAAUAAACUGAAA